UACGGAGGUGGCAAGCGUUACUCGGAUUGAUUGGGUGUAAAGGGUAUGUAGGUGGUGAAUUAAGUCGAAUGUGAAAUCCCUUGGCUUAACCAAGGAACUGCAUUCGAAACUGAUUUGCUUGAGCGACGGAGAGGAAAGCGGAAUUCCCGGUGUAACAGUGAAAUGUGUAGAUAUCGGGAGGAACACCAGUGGCGAAGGCGGCUUUCUGGACGUUUGCUGACACUGAAAUACGAGAGCUAGGGGAGCAAACAGG
rnacentral:rRNA from 1 species